rfam:Schistosoma mansoni strain Puerto Rico chromosome 2, complete genome
AUCAUGCUGAUGAGUUCUAAAUGAGACGAAACGCGCGUCCUGGAU